UACGGAGGGGGCUAGCGUUGUUCGGAAUUACUGGGCGUAAAGCGCACGUAGGCGGCUUUACAAGUCAGGGGUGAAAGCCCGGAGCUCAACUCCGGAGUUGCCCUUGAGACUGUAUCGCUUGAACACGGGAGAGGUGAGUGGAAUUCCGAGUGUAGAGGUGAAAUUCGUAGAUAUUCGGAAGAACACCAGUGGCGAAGGCGGCUCACUGGACCGUUGUUGACGCUGAGGUGCGAAAGCGUGGGGAGCAAACAGG
rnacentral:rRNA from 1 species